AUCGUAGCAUGGCCGUCCGGCCUCAAGCAGCGAGUGAAAAGGGAAUCCAGUGUGAAUCUGGAGCUGACGCGCAGCGGUAUGGGGAAGUCACGGCGAUAGCGUUUUAACGCAGACACUGUCCACUGCUGGAUGGGAAGUCAUCGCCCGGUGCCGGUUGCCCACGGCAAUCUGCAAAUCCUAAGCCCGAAAACCUGCCGGUGUACGUCGCAAAAUC
rnacentral:ncRNA from 1 species